rnacentral:rRNA from 1 species
GUGGGGAAUAUUGGACAAUGGGCGCAAGCCUGAUCCAGCCAUGCCGCGUGAGUGAUGAAGGCCUUAGGGUUGUAAAGCUCUUUCACCGAUGAAGAUAAUGACGGUAGUCGGAGAAGAAGCCCCGGCUAACUUCGUGCCAGCAGCCGCGGUAAUACGAAGGGGGCUAGCGUUGUUCGGAUUUACUGGGCGUAAAGCGCACGUAGGCGGUUUGUUAAGUCAGGGGUGAAAUCCCGGAGCUCAACUCCGGAACUGCCUUUGAUACUGGCAAGCUAGGGUCCGGAAGAGGUAAGUGGAACUCCUAGUGUAGAGGUGGAAUUCGUAGAUAUUAGGAAGAACACCAGUGGCGAAGGCGGCUUACUGGUCCGGAACUGACGCUGAGGUGCGAAAGCGUGGGGAGCAAACAGGAUUAGUUACCCCAGUAGUCC